rnacentral:piRNA from 1 species
UCCUUCCAGCUGACCUCUGACACUAGC